CAACCUGAGAGUUUGAUCCUGGCUCAGAACGAACGCUGGCGGCAUGCCUAACACAUGCAAGUCGAACGCAUCAGCAAUGGUGAGUGGCGGACGGGUGAGGA
rnacentral:rRNA from 1 species